GUCGGGUAAGUUCCGACCUGCACGAAUGGCGUAAUGAUGGCCAGGCUGUCUCCACCCGAGACUCAGUGAAAUUGAACUCGCUGUGAAGAUGCAGUGUACCCGCGGCAAGACGGAAAGACCCCGUGAACCUUUACUAUAGCUUGACACUGAACAUUGAGCCUUGAUGUGUAGGAUAGGUGGGAGGCUUUGAAGUGUGGACGCCAGUCUGCAUGGAGCCGACCUUGAAAUACCACCCUUUAAUGUUUGAUGUUCUAACGUUGACCCGUAAUCCGGGUUGCGGACAGUGUCUGGUGGGUAGUUUGACUGGGGCGGUCUCCUCCUAAAGAGUAACGGAGGAGCACGAAGGUUGGCUAAUCCUGGUCGGACAUCAGGAGGUUAGUGCAAUGGCAUAAGCCAGCUUGACUGCGAGCGUGACGGCGCGAGCAGGUGCGAAAGCAGGUCAUAGUGAUCCGGUGGUUCUGAAUGGAAGGGCCAUCGCUCAACGGAUAAAAGGUACUCCGGGGAUAACAGGCUGAUACCGCCCAAGAGUUCAUAUCGACGGCGGUGUUUGGCACCUCGAUGUCGGCUCAUCACAUCCUGGGGCUGAAGUAGGUCCCAAGGGUAUGGCUGUUCGCCAUUUAAAGUGGUACGCGAGCUGGGUUUAGAACGUCGUGAGACAGUUCGGUCCCUAUCUGCCGUGGGCGCUGGAGAACUGAGGGGGGCUGCUCCUAGUACGAGAGGACCGGAGUGGACGCAUCACUGGUGUUCGGGUUGUCAUGCCAAUGGCACUGCCCGGUAGCUAAAUGCGGAAGAGAUAAGUGCUGAAAGCAUCUAAGCACGAAACUUGCCCCGAGAUGAGUUCUCCCUGACUCCUUGAGAGUCCUGAAGGAACGUUGAAGACGACGACGUUGAUAGGCCGGGUGUGUAAGCGCAGCGAUGCGUUGAGCUAACCGGUACUAAUGAACCGUGAGG
rnacentral:rRNA from 1 species